rnacentral:rRNA from 1 species
AAUAGAUACCCCGGUAGUCCACGCCGUAAACGAUGAGUGCUAAGUGUUAGAGGGUUUCCGCCCUUUAGUGCUGCAGCUAACGCAUUAAGCACUCCGCCUGGAGAGUACGGUCGCAAGACUGAAACUCAAAGGAAUUGACGGGGGCCCGCACAAGCGGUGGAGCAUGUGGUUUAAUUCGAAGCAACGCGAAGAACCUUACCAGGUCUUGACAUCCCACUGACCGGUAUAGAGAUAUACCUUUCCCUUCGGGGACAGUGGUGACAGGUGGUGCAUAGUUGUCGUCAGCUCGUGUCGUGAGAUGUUGGGUUAAGUCCCGCAACGAGCGCAACCCUUGAUCUUAGUUGCCAGCAUUUAGUUGGGCACUCUAAGGUGACUGCCGGUGACAAACCGGAGGAAGGUGGGGAUGACGUCAAAUCAUCAUGCCCCUUAUGACCUGGGCUACACACGUGCUACAAUGGAUGGUACAAAGGGCUGCAAGACUGCGAAGUCAAGCCAAUCCCAUAAAACCAUUCUCAGUUCGGAUUGCAGG